CACGAUUUCUGUGGGCCUGAGACAAGACACGAGCAGCUAGGCUACUUCUGGAAACAGGCUCCGCUGUUUUCCCGUGACUCACGUGCAGUGCACGCGACCGACGCACACACCUCAGCUAUGCGCCUGCCAGAGAAAGAGGAAAUGUGAUGGAAGGAGCUCGUCUUACCGUUUUCUCACUUCCCUCGACGCCCUUCCCUCACACACACACACUACUUUACCGCGUAGUGAAUGACCGAGGAGCACGAGGCUCCACAGUGCAAAGUUAGUCUGCUCAUCCUACGUCACUAACGAGGAACCUCUACAAGCAGGGUGACACAUCCAACCUGUAGGGAUGCAUGCCGUGGACUACGCACGAUCCAGGAAGAAGUGUUCACGUGGCCAGACACACUCACCUGAACAAAAUAAACUUCUAAAAAUAAUUGUUCGGCAAAAACGAGUUUGUCAGGCAGUUCACUUGCUGUCCACGAGGCUCCUUACCUAAUACCUACAGCGAACAGGCUAAUGAGUAUACCUUACGACUCACGCUGCUGCAAUUAGUUCUAAUCAGUGCAUAAUCCGUGCCAGCGGGAUAACAAGAAAUGCUGUAUAAACAUCAUCUCUUGCUAUUUAUACAUGGGAUUGUGCGAAUUAUAACAUUUCCCCUCUCUUCCAAGGAACUUCGUUUGUCAUCGUAGUUCUUAUUCUUGAAGCAGUAGAGUAAAUAAACGUAUCAUAAAAAGUGAA